AAGGAACUUCGUUCUUUAGCGGAGUAAUUCUUAACCCGUGUUUACUUUAUCUUUGUUGCUUUGGCGGGCCGCCUUCGGGCGUCGGCUCCGGCUGGUAGCGCCUGCCAGAGGAUUCCAACUCUUUUGUUUAGUGAUGUCUGAGUACUAUAUAAUAGUUA
rnacentral:misc_RNA from 1 species